UUUGAUUAUGGCUUAAGAAUGAAAUGCUGGCGGCGUGCCUAACACAUGCAAGUUCGAGCGGCAGCGAGGGGAGCUUGCACCCUGUCGGCGAGCGGCGGACGGCUGAGUAACGCGUGGGAAUCCUACCCUAAAGUGAGGGAUCACCGCCCGAAAGGGUUGGCUAAUACCGCAUAUGAUCUUCGGAAUUAAAGGAUUUAUCCGCUUUUAGGAAGAGCCCGCGUUAGAUUAGGUAGUUUGGUAGGGUAAUGGCCUACCAAGCCAACGAUCUAUAGCUGGUCUGAGAGGAUGAUCAGCCAGACUGGAACUGAGACACGGUCCAGACUCCUACGGGAGGCAGCAGUGAGGAAUCUUCCACAAUGGGCGAAAGCCUGAUGGAGCAACGCCGCGUGAAGGAUGAAGGCCUUCGGGUUUGUAAACUUCUUUUAUGAGUGAAGAAUAUGACGGUAACUCAUGAAUAAGCACCGGCUAACUACGUGCCAGCAGCCGCGGUCAUACGUAGGGUGCAAGCAUUAUCCGGAGUGACUGGGCGUAAAGAGUUGCGUAGGCGGUUUAAUAAGUGAAUAGUGAAACCUGGUGGCUCAACCAUACAGACUAUUAUUCAAACUGUUAAACUCGAGAGUAGUAGAGGUAACUGGAAUUUCUAGUGUAGGAGUGAAAUCCGUAGAUAUUAGAAGGAACACCAAUGGCGUAGGCAGGUUACUGGACUAUUUCUGACGCUAAGGCACGAAAGCGUGGGGAGCGAACUGGAUUAGAUACCCAGGUAGUCCACGCCGUAAACGAUGGAUACUAGCUGUUGGAGGUAUCGACCCCUUCAGUAGCGAAGCUAACGCGUUAAGUAUCCCGCCUGUGGAGUACGGCCGCAAGGCUAAAACAUAAAGGAAUUGACGGGGACCCGCACAAGCGGUGGAUCAUGUUCUUUAAUUCGAUGAUAAACGAAGAACCUUACCAGGGUUUGACAUCCCGAGAAGAUUUACGAAAGUAGAUUGUGCCUUUUGGAACUCGGUGACAGAUGAUGCAUGGCCGUCGUCAGCUCGUGUCGUGAGAUGUUUGGUUAAGUCCAUCAACGAGCGCAACCCUUGUGAAUAGUUGAAUUUUUCUAUUCAGACUGCCCCGGCAACGGGGAGGAAGGAGGGGAUGAUGUCAGGUCAGUAUUUCUCUUACAUCCUGGGCUAGAAACGUGAUACAAUGGCAAGUACAAUGCGCAGCGAAGCCGCGAGGUGAAGCAAAUCGCACCAAAGCUUGUCCCAGUUCGGAUUGGAGGCUGAAACUCGCCUCCAUGAAGUCGGAAUCGCUAGUAAUCGCAGGUCAGCAAACUGCGGUGAAUACGUUCCCGGGUCUUGUACACACCGCCCGUC
rnacentral:rRNA from 1 species